rnacentral:rRNA from 1 species
GACGAACGCUGGCGGCGUGCUUAACACAUGCAAGUCGAACGGAAAGGCCCUGCUUUUGUGGGGUGCUCGUGUGGCGAACGGGUGAGUAACACGUGAGUAACCUGCCCUUGUCUUUGGGAUAACUUCAGGAAACUGGGGCUAAUACCGGAUAGGAGCUCCUGCUGCAUGGUGGGGGUUGGAAAGUUUCGGCGGUUGGGGCUGGACUCGCGGCUUAUCAGCUUGUUGGUGGGGUUGUGGCUUACCAAGGCUUUGACGGGUAGCCGGCCUGAGAGGGUGACCGGCCACAUGGGGACUGAGAUACGGCCCAGACUCCUACGGGAGGCAGCAGUGGGGAAUAUUGCACAGUGGGCGGAAGCCUGAUACAGCAACGCCGCGUGCGGGAUGACGGCCUUCGGGUUGAAAACCGCUUUCGCCUGUGACGAAGCGUGAGUGACGGUAAUGGGUAAAGAAGCACCGGCUAACUACGUG